AAUGAAACAAGACUAUACUUUUAGAUCUAUCAGAUAUUUAUGCUUUUAAAGAGUAUUAAACAGUUGCUAGGUAACGUAUUAUUGUCGACGGCUUAAAUAAUGCCCAAUUAUUAUCAACUACUACCAUCCCUUUAACUUUCGCCGCAUUAAUCCCAUGAUUUAAUCUGUUUAUCAUUAACAUGUGUUGCAAAAAUCAAACUACAUCCUUCCGCUUGAACCUCAACAACCGUUUCCUACGCCCGCCAUCCAUUCUUGACGUUUUUGAACCAAUGUUUCUCAUAGGGUUAGUACAUCCUGUAGAAUGUCCCAGCUCAGAGUCAUUCACCUCAAUUGUUUUCUAGUGACUACAAUUCGCUGCUGGUUUCAGUGAAUAGCCUAGAUCGCUUCAAACACGAGUCAAUCAUUCCUUUGCAUUCACUAGCUACGUAAUAUCGAACGAAACACAUGCUAUCCGUAAAACAUAAUCUACUCACUCUCCAGGUAAUCCUCAAGGUACAACAUUGUGCUGGCCUAUCGGCUUUCUCAUCAUGCGUCGAAGGGUCCUUCCCCAAUUUACCUUCAAGCUAAGUGAUUUGAAAGAAUAUGAACAGGCGAAGAUGGAGCGUUUAAUGAAGAACAUUAAGCUACCCGAGAAACAGAAGGAGGACACAGAUGCCACAGAUACGAAAAUGGAACGCUCAACGAAGAACAUUAAGCUUUCCGAGCGACAGAAGGAAGAUACCGAUACCCAUCGUAACUAAGCUAUUACACUAUCCAUACGAACCAUUGUUGCGACCAGUUACUACACCAGCCACCAUCCACCAAAUGUUAUCAUCAAAAGCAGCAACAUACCGAAAUAAUUCGCCGAAUAAAAUGAUACAGCCUGAAGAAACUGGAGAGAAGGGUUAAUGAAUAGCUGGAAUAAAUGCUUUAUGUAGCUCAGAA